GAUGUGGCGCAGUGGUUAUGCGACUGCCUGCGACGCAGAAGGUUCCGGGUUCACUUCUCGGUGGGUCA